rnacentral:sRNA from 1 species
UCAAACUGGAUCUCCCUCCUCGCGCCUCUGCUGGCCUGGCAUGACUUUCGCCUUGCCCCCAGCCCACCCCUCACCUCACGCGGAUUGGGGGGUCCUCACGCCAGGCCGGAGCUGGACGCCAUGACCAGACUUCAACAUCUCAAGCCUCUCUGGUCUGUUGUCCCCGGCGCUAACGGAGAGACUGCUGGUUGCCUUGCCCCCCUGUCACCUCACAGGAGGCAAUGCCACACUGAUAGUCCGGAGAGCCAAUGACAGCAAAGUGGUGACAUCCAGCUUUGUGGUGCCUCCGUGCCGUGGGCGCAGGGAACUGGUGAGUGUGGUGGACAGUGGUGCUGGCUUCACAGUCACUCGGCUCAGUGCAUACCAGCAUUUCCUACCUAGUGAAGAAGGGGACAGCCACUGAAUCCAGCAGAGAGAUCCCAAUGUCCACACUCCCUCGGAGGACCAUGGAAUCCAUUGGGCUGGGCAUGGCCCGCACAGGGGGCAUGGUGGUCAUCACGGUGCUGCUCUCCGUUGCCAUGUUCCUGCUGGUGCUGGGCUUCAUCAUUGCCCUGGCACUGGGCUCCCACAAGUGAGGAGGUCUGCCUGGAGCAGCGGCUUCUCCAGGAAGCCCAGGGCACCGUCCGGCUCUCCAGCCCACCUGCUCCCAGGCCCCAGGCCUGUGGCUCCCUUGGUGCCCUCGCCUCCUCCUCCUGCCCUCCUCUCCCCUAGAGCCUUCUCCUCGCUCUGUCCCUCUCCUUGCCCCCAGUGCCUCACCUUCCAACACUCCGUUAUUCCUCUCACCCCACUCCUGUCAGAGUUGACUUUCCUCCCAUUUUACCACUUUAAACACCCCCAUAACAAUUCCCCCAUCCUUCAGUGAACUAAGUCCCUAUAAUAAAGGCUGAGGCUGCAUC